UGGGGAAUUUUGGACAAUGGGGGCAACCCUGAUCCAGCAAUGCCGCGUGUGUGAAGAAGGCCUUCGGGUUGUAAAGCACUUUUGUUCGGAACGAAACGCGCUGGGCUAAUAUCCCGGCGUAAUGACGGUACCGGAAGAAUAAGCACCGGCUAACUACGUGCCAGCAGCCGCGGUAAUACGUAGGGUGCAAGCGUUAAUCGGAAUUACUGGGCGUAAAGCGUGCGCAGGCGGUUGUGCAAGACAGAUGUGAAAUCCCCGGGCUUAACCUGGGAAUUGCAUUUGUGACUGCACGGCUAGAGUGUGUCAGAGGGGGGUAGAAUUCCACGUGUAGCAGUGAAAUGCGUAGAUAUGUGGAGGAAUACCGAUGGCGAAGGCAGCCCCCUGGGAUAACACUGACGCUCAUGCACGAAAGCGUGGGGAGCAAACAGGAUUAGAUACCCUGGUAGUCCACGCCCUAAACGAUGUCUACUAGUUGUCGGGUCUUAAUUGACUUGGUAACGCAGCUAACGCGUGAAGUAGACCGCCUGGGGAGUACGGUCGCAAGAUUAA
rnacentral:rRNA from 1 species